rnacentral:lncRNA from 1 species
AUAUUACCACUUUGCCUUCCCUUUCUUUUUGCUGGAAUGUGAUGAAAGGUGUGGACGCAUAGCAUCCCAAAUGAGAUAGGAGAUGCUGAGCAUGAAGACAAAAGCCUAUCGAAUGGGGUGUCAGAAAAGAAACAUCAAAAUAUCGUAAGUUGCUUAGGGCAUUAUUAUGUCUUUGUACUAGUCAUGGAUUUCAUUCCUUUAGAUCUUUAGUUGUAGAACUCCAAUGUAUUUGAACCACUAGUGAUCACAUUUUAUUUUGUUUGAUAGCUGAAUACAAAGCUGGCUGAUGCAGUGAUCUACAAGGUCAUGACUGAGGUAUCUUAUACUCAUCCUCAUUCAAGCAAGAUUAUGUUUAACUUAAAAAGACAAAUGAAAAGGAAUCUAUUUUAAUAAAUAUAUUAUUGGUGGAAAUAUUCAUAGUCUACCUUGAAAGGAGUGUUAUGUUAAGAUUGCUUUGCUUGUAGAGUAAUUUAUGCCUUUAAUUUCUGUGUCUAGUCUUUCUAAGCCAGAAUAAAAGUCUGUUCAUCAUGAUCUCUGUUAUAGCCCUCCGCAUAUUUGAAGGCUGCUGUUAUAUCACAUCAUAUAUUAAGCUCAGUUAAUAGAUUAACAGACCCUUUAUUUUUACAUUUACUAUAGCAUCUAACAUGGUUAGCAAAUGCUUUUAUUAUUUCUUUAUUUUCUUUAUAAGAUAAAUGGGUAUUACAUAUACCAAAGCAUCUGUUUUGGAGCCACUAUGAUCACUAAAAGAAUCUUUUCAUUGUUCCUACCUUCUCCUUCCUACAUGUGUGGAAAAAACACAUGAUUCCACACAUACACAUGGUUGUCUAAUUCUAUUGUUUAACCCUCCAUGAAUAGAUGUCCACAAUGCUCCCUACAUCUCUCUUUUUUUUUUUUUUUUUUUUGAGACAGGGUCUUGCUCUGUUGCCCAGGCUAGAAUGCUGGAGUGCAGUGGUGUGACCAUGGCUCACUGCAGCAUCCAUUUCCUCGACUCAAACAAUCUUUUCACCUCAGCCUCUCAAGUAGCUGGGACCACAGGCACUAUACCCAGCUAAUUUUUGUAUUUUUUGUAGAGAUGGGAUUUGCCAUGUUGCCCAGGCCGGUCUUGAACUCUUAGGCUCAAGUGAUUCUCCCCCCUUGGCCUCUCAAAGUGCCUAUGUCUUUAAAUGUGAGUAUUUGAGCAUAUUGAAUGAUGAUGACCUGCCCUUUGCUGGUAAAGAUAUACUAAUAACAUAAUAUAAACAAUACGUACACUUGGGAUGUCUUUCCAGGGCUGGAAAGAGAAUCAUAUUCUGUUUUUCCAUGUUCUCAUUUUAUCCUGAAUGUGCCAAUUUAAUUAUUUGCCAACAUGUUGCCAGACAUGCUCCCUAGUCUGUGCUAAAGCAUUUGUUACCAUGUACUACAUUGAACAUACUUGAAUGUUUCUGUCAUGUUUACCACCCAGAUGGUGAGAAUCCAAGGAAAGGAGACACUUGUAUUAAGUUCACAGUUUAUCUGUUCUUGGAAACAUAUAACUGCAUGAAGAGAUCAGGAUGAAAAUAUCGUUAUAGUUACCCCAGUUACCUCAAGGUGGAAGUCUGGGUCAGACAACCACGGGGACCUGCCAUUGCAAAACUUCUCUGUAUAUGCCUGGGGGACCUGGCUGUUCUAGUUUUUCACCAUCUUUGACAUCUGCUUGUUCUCACUUGGCUCCUGCCUUACCCUCAGGGUCUCAAUAAUGACUUCUUGACUUUGACAACUUUGACAAAAAUGCAUUCAUCAAAAUUAUAAUAAAAAAUAAAAUCUAUUUUUAAAAUAUGAUAUUUAACUCAUGUAUUAAAUUGCUUUAAAAGGCAGCAGGGCGGUGAAACCCCGUCUCUACUAAG